rnacentral:rRNA from 1 species
CUUUGCUGGCGACCGGCGCACGGGUGAGUAACACGUAUCCAACCUGCCCUUUACUCGGGGAUAGCCUUUCGAAAGAAAGAUUAAUACCCGAUGGGAUAAUUAUUCCGCAUGGCUUGAUUAUUAAAGGAUUCCGGUAAAGGAUGGGGAUGCGUUCCAUUAGGUUGUUGGUGAGGUAACGGCUCACCAAGCCUUCGAUGGAUAGGGGUUCUGAGAGGAAGGUCCCCCACAUUGGAACUGAGACACGGUCCAA